rnacentral:rRNA from 1 species
UACGUAGGGUGCAAGCGUUGUCCGGAAUUAUUGGGCGUAAAGAGCUCGUAGGCGGUCUGUCACGUCGGCUGUGAAAACCCGAGGCUCAACCUCGGGCCUGCAGUCGAUACGGGCAGACUAGAGUUCGGUAGGGGAGACUGGAAUUCCUGGUGUAGCGGUGAAAUGCGCAGAUAUCAGGAGGAACACCGGUGGUGAAGGCGGGUCUCUGGGCCGAAACUGACGCUGAGGAGCGAAAGCGUGGGGAGCGAACAGG